rnacentral:rRNA from 1 species
CCAGACUCCUACGGGAGGCAGCAGUGGGGGAUAUUGCACAAUGGGGGGAACCCUGAUGCAGCGACGCCGCGUGGGUGAAGAAGCGCCUCGGCGCGUAAAGCCCUUUCAGCAGGGAAGAAAAUGACGGUACCUGACUAAGAAGCCCCGGCUAACUACGUGCCAGCAGCCGCGGUAAUCCGUAGGGGGCAAGCGUUAUCCGGAUUUACUGGGUGUAAAGGGAGCGUAGGCGGUAAUGCAAGUCAGAAGUGAAAGCCCGGGGCUCAACUCCGGGACUGCUUUUGAAACUGUGUUACUAGAUUGCAGGAGAGGGAAGUGGAAUUCCUAGUGUAGCGGUGAAAUGCGUAGAUAUUAGGAGGAACACCAGUGGCGAAGGCGGCUUACUGGACUGUAAAUGACGCUGAGGCUCGAAAGCGUGGGGAGCAAACAGGAUUAGAUACCCCGGUAUAG